rnacentral:rRNA from 1 species
UACGGGGGGAGCAAGCGUUGUUCGGAUUUACUGGGCGUAAAGGGCGCGUAGGCGGCCCUCCGCAAGUCAGUUGUGAAAUCUCCGAGCUUAACUCGGAAAGGUCAACUGAUACUGUCGGGCUAGAGUGCGGAAGAGGCGAGUGGAAUUCCCGGUGUAGCGGUGAAAUGCGCAGAUAUCGGGAGGAACACCAAUGGCGAAGGCAGCUUGCUGGGACGGUACUGACGCUGAGGCGCGAAAGCGUGGGUAGCGAACAGG